UACGAGUACCCCGAGCGUUAUCCGGAAUUAUUGGGCGUAAAGAGUUUGUAGGCGGCAAUGUUAGUCUUUUGUUAAAUCUCCCGGCUCAACUGGGAAGCAGCAAAAGAAACGGCAUUGCUCGAGAGUAUGAGAGGUGAACAGAACUCACGGUGUAGGGGUGAAAUCCGUUGAUAUCGUGGGGAAUACCAAAUGCGAAGGCAGUUCACUGGCAUAUUUCUGACGCUGAGAAACGAAAGCGUGGGUAGCGAAGGGG
rnacentral:misc_RNA from 1 species